AAUAAGAUAGGAUAAUUUUUAGUCCGAGAGGUCCAUACCCUCUAGGUGUUUUCUCUUGUUG
rnacentral:tRNA from 1 species